UACGGGGGGGGCAAGCGUUGUUCGGAAUUACUGGGCGUAAAGGGCUCGUAGGUGGCCAACUAAGUCAGACGUGAAAUCCCUCGGCUUAACCGGGGAACUGCGUCUGAUACUGGCGAGCUCGAGUCCGGGAGAGGUGAGUGGAACUGCGAGUGUAGAGGUGAAAUUCGUAGAUAUUCGCAAGAACACCAGUGGCGAAGGCGGCUCACUGGCCCGGUACUGACGCUGAGGCACGAAAGCGUGGGGAGCAAACAGG
rnacentral:rRNA from 1 species